GUUCUCUGCCAUGGCUGGGGACUAGGAAGUGGGAAAGAGCUCUAGGGGAACCUGAGGGCUUGGGUGGAAGACUGGAGAGCCAGGAGGAGCAAGGAGCAGGAAGCAAGGUGUAAAGAAGCCGGCCCAAACCCAUCAAGACCAAGAUGAUGACAUGAGUGACCUCUGAUUGUCCUCACUGCUACACUCCCACCAGCCCCCUGACGGUUUACAGAUGCCAUGGCAACAUCAGGAAGUUACCCUCUAUGCUCUAAAAACGGGAGACACGUGAGUUGUUUCCAGUUUUGGUGACGAAUGCCCAAAUUCAUAGGCGAUGAUAAAUAAUGUGCCAGACGUUGAUGUGCAAGUUUUGGUGUGAGGUGUGGAUUCAUUCAUUCAACAAAUAUUUACGGAACGAACACCUCCUGCGUGCCAGGCUCCAUUCCAAGCACUGGGGGUUGCAGCGGCGAACAAAACAGACCCAAAUGCCUGCCCUGGUGGGCCAGGAAGGCAGAAAUAAAGAUGAAGAGUUGGUCAA
rnacentral:lncRNA from 10 species